GACAGAGGAUGCAAGCGUUAUCCGGAAUGAUUGGGCGUAAAGCAUCUGUAGGUGGCUUUUCAAGUCCGCCGUCAAAUACCAGGGCUCAACCCUGGACAGGUGGUGGAAACUACCAAGCUGGAGUACGGUAGGGGUAGAGGGAAUUUCCGGUGGAGCGGUGAAAUGCGUAGAUAUCGUUUGGAACGCCAACGGUGAAAACAGACGACUGGGAGCACGCUGACGCUGAGACACGAAAGCCAGGGGAGCGAACGGG
rnacentral:rRNA from 1 species